UACGGAGGGGGCUAGCGUUGUUCGGAAUUACUGGGCGUAAAGCGCGCGUAGGCGGACCUGCAAGUCGGGGGUGAAAGCCCGAGGCUCAACCUCGGAACUGCCUUCGAUACUGCGGGUCUCGAGUCCGGGAGAGGUGAGUGGAAUUCCUAGUGUAGAGGUGAAAUUCGUAGAUAUCGGGAGGAAUACCAGUGGCGAAGGCGGCGACCUGGGCCAAUACUGACGCUGAGGUGCGAAAGCGUGGGGAGCAAACAGG
rnacentral:rRNA from 1 species